GUUGGUGCAAAAGUAAUUGCGGUUUUUGCCAUUGAAAGGAAUGGCAAAAACUGCAAUUACUUUUG
ensembl:miRNA